CCCGAGCCAGCCUGGACUUCCCUGAGCAGCUGAACUUCUCCGAGUGUCCAGUCAGGUUCAGCACCCAGAAGACUCUGCUGGUGCGCAACGUGGGGAAGCGGGAGGCUUGCUACAGCAUCACCACUCUGAGCCCUUUCUCUGUGGAUCCCUCCAUUGGGACUCUUGGCGUUGGAGAAGCAAUGCAAGUCACGGUGGAAUUUCACCCACCAAAGACCGGUGUUUAUACAAGUCCCAUGAUUGUUCACUAUGACACAGGUGAAGAUGUUCACAAAAGCCUCUGUGGAACAGCUGUAAAUGCUGACAUCAGGCUGGACAAGAGCUCCUUGACAGUUGAGAAGACUUCCCUCACGCUGUCAAAGCAAAGUUCCCUGGUCAUCCACAA